UUGAAUUGAAUAGUUAAAGCAAUAAAAUUAAGUUUGCACAGAAAACGGCACCUCCUGAGCAGAAGGUGGCAGUAACGCUCAAUGAAAAGGACGUCAACUGCCAUAAAAGAAGAAUAAACAUCGUUUGUUUUGGGCGCCAAAAUGAAGACUCAGCAGCAGUCAGUAGAACUCUCUCAGACGGACACCACGUUAUUAAAGUCCAUCAUCCUUGCACACACUCAAAAGCAUUGAUAAAUGCUGAAUUUAAAAGAAUCACUACUGUCUAAUGUUCCUGUGUCACCUGGACCUCCAAUCCAAAAACCUGACGAAACUCUUCUAUCAGAAAGGAGGACAGCUAGCAAAAAGACUUGGAACAAUCAAUGAUCAAAUGACAGAAGGCAUGGAUGAAGUCAGCAUCAGUGUGGUCAUUUGAAGACACCACUGUUGGGAUUUGUGCUCUCAAACAACAUGCUUCUUGUGAUGAAGAAGAGGAUCUUUGUAUAGUCCUGGAAGCCAUGAAGGUGUUGCAACAUCGUGCCAUGUUGUUUG